rnacentral:rRNA from 1 species
UACGUAGGGUGCGAGCGUUAAUCGGAAUUACUGGGCGUAAAGCGUGAGCAGGCGGCUUUGCAAGACAGAUGUGAAAUCCCCGGGCUCAACCUGGGAACUGCAUUUGUGACUGCAAGGCUAGAGUACGGCAGAGGGGGAUGGAAUUCCGCGUGUAGCAGUGAAAUGCGUAGAUAUGCGGAGGAACACCAAUGGCGAAGGCAAUCCCCUGG